AAGCUUAAAUAAAACAUGACCAUGAUACUUAGUGGUAUUCUAUGAUAAUUUUAUAUGAUGGUUCUUCUGUUUAUUAUGGGAUUAUUGAAUAUUCUGGUUAUUUGGUUUUUAUUGAAUACCUGAUAUGUUCUGAUAUGCUUGAUGUGGCUUAAUACACCUGCUUAUGACAUUGACUUUUUGUCUUCUCUGUUUGAUUUGUAACCUAUUCACUGGAUUUUCUUAAAAAACACAAAAAAGGUUUUCUAAAUACUUCAAUUUUCCAUCAUGCGAUAAUCCUCCGAGGUAAGAGG
rnacentral:lncRNA from 1 species